rnacentral:rRNA from 1 species
AAUCAACGCUGGCGGCGUGCCUCAGACAUGCAAGUCGAACGAUUAAAGCUCUCUUCGGAGAGUGUAUAGAGUGGCGCACGGGUGAGUAACACGUAAGUAAUCUACCUUUGAGUGGGGAAUAACCCGGGGAAACCCGAGCUAAUACCGCAUAAUGCAGCGGCAUCGCAAGAUGACAGUUGUUAAAGGAGCAAUCCGCUUAAAGAGGAGCUUGCGGCAGAUUAGCUAGUUGGUAAGGUAAUGGCUUACCAAGGCUACGAUCUGUAUCCGGUCUAAGAGGACGGUCGGACACACUGACACUGAAUAACGGGUCAGACUCCUACGGGAGGCAGCAGUCGGGAAUUUUGGGCAAUGGGCGAAAGCCUGACCCAGCAACGCCGCGUGAAGGAUGAAGUAUUUCGGUAUGUAAACUUCGAAAGAAUAGAAGAAUAAAUGACGGUACUAUUUAUAAGGUCCGGCUAACUACGUGCCAGCAGCCGCUGUAAC